rnacentral:sRNA from 1 species
CCGGCCCUCUCAGGGCGGGCAGGGCGUGACAGGCUUCUUGCCUCGUCCAGCAGGCCAGGGUCAUUGGAAUGGCUGCACUAGUGACCUGCGUGUCUCUUCCUUUCCACGCGCAUAUGUGUCUGCGUGUGUGUGAAAAGUGGGCAAGCAGUGGACGUGCUCCGUGUGCGACAAGAAGUACGUGACCGAGUACAUGCUGCAGAAGCACGUUCAGCUCACACACGACAAGGUGGAGGCGCAGAGCUGCCAGCUGUGCGGGACGAAGGUGUCCACCAGGGCCUCCAUGAGCCGACACAUGCGGCGCAAGCACCCCGAGGUGCUCGCGGUGAGGAUCGAUGACCUGGACCACCUCCCGGAGGCCACAACCAUCGACGCCUCCUCCAUCGGCAUCGUCCAGCCUGAGCUGACUCUGGAGCAGGAGGAUUUGGCCGAAGGGAAGCACGGGAAAGCUGCCAAGAGAAGUCACAAGAGAAAGCAGAAGCCAGAAGAGGAGGCGGGCGCUCCGGUGCCUGAGGACGCCACCUUCAGCGAAUACUCAGAGAAAGAGACGGAGUUCACAGGCAGCGUAGGCGACGAGACCAAUUCCGCAGUACAGAGCAUUCAGCAGGUAGUGGUGACCCUGGGUGACCCAAAUGUGACCACACCAUCGAGCUCAGUCGGCUUGACCAACAUCACCGUGACCCCCAUCACCACUGCAGCUGCGACUCAGUUUACCAAUCUCCAGCCGGUGGCCGUGGGGCACCUUACCACCCCUGAACGCCAGUUACAGCUGGACAACUCAAUCCUGACCGUGACCUUUGAUACCGUCAGCGGCUCUGCCAUGUUGCACAACCGCCAAAAUGACGUCCAGAUCCACCCCCAGCCGGAAGCCUCGAACCCACAGUCUGUGGCCCACUUCAUCAAUCUGACGACCCUGGUCAACUCCAUCACACCCCUGGGGAGCCAGCUUAGUGACCAGCACCCGCUCACAUGGCGGGCAGUACCCCAGACUGACGUCUUGCCACCCCCGCAGCCGCAGGCACCCCCACAGCAGGCAGCCCAGCCCCAGGUGCAGGCGGAGCAGCAGCAGCAGAUGUACAGCUACUGAGCUGCGUUCCGGGAGACUCGGGGCAAGAACUGCAGAGGGAUGUUUGGGAUUUGUUUAGAUUUGUUUGCUGGAUACCAAACAAACAAAAAGUCAUACAUUGCAAUGUAAGGUUGACUUAGCUUUGCAGAGUAUCUCCAGAUUCCCUGCCAGCAACCAUUACGGUCUGUCAGCUUAACUCUAGAAGCGACCUCUGGCAGGCCAGAGUUUUAAACUGGAUGGGGUUCCACACUAUGCCUUACCAAGGCAGAGUUGAGUUGGUUCUUAUACAACUAUGGGCUGAAACCAUACGUGAGGCGUGCUGAGCCGCCCGCACAUGAUCCUGCAGCCUUCGAGCUCGUCAAGGUCAUCACGUACAAGGGGUCACGUGAGGUCACUGACUCCAGCUCAAAAGGCAUCUUAGUAAUAUCCGUGAAUCGAUUUCCAAUAGAGUUUUUUUCCUUUUUUUUUUUUUUUAACUUUAUUUCAAACAUACAUUAUGUGUUCAAGACUGUUAUGGCCAAUAUGGUAUUUCAGUUUUAUGUUAACAUGAUAAAGUCAUGUGCACUGUAGGACCAUUGGUCCCUGUCCACCCUUCACAGCUGCCCAGAUGCAGAGGGUCGCGCGGCUGUGUGUGAGGAGUGAGCCUCCCUGCUUCCCCCAGCGGCUCCUCCGGGUUGUCUCAGGAUUCUCUGCAAUCCAAAUGUACCAUUCUGGCUGAAGCCCAGCCGGAAUCCCCUGAGUGGAAGAAACGGGGGAAAAUUCAUAUUUUCCUUCUGUUUAAACUUCAAUUCCAAAGGUGCACAGAUGUAUUCAUAAAGGAAGACAUUAGAUCCGCCGUUGUGGCCACCAGGCUCUGUGGACCCAUCUCAGUGGAGAAUUUGUUUUGGACCCGUAGCUCCGUGCAGCUGUGGACUCGAGUGCCAUCCACUGGUGUGAGUCUUGCGGGGAGGCCACAGGAAAACGUUCUGUGUCAAGUGCCGCCUCGCUGUGUCCGGCAUGGGACUGUGCUGGAGGGUCCGGCGUGGAAGGCAGACCUCCUGUACCUCUAUCGUUCCCAUUUGUGGCAUCCAAAGGCGGAAGGCUCAUGGCUUCCCCGCUAGAGGCGGCAUCUUGGGCUUUCCCAUUGGAUUUUGAAAGGCAUUAAGACUGUUUGGAGAGAUGUUGGCUGUAUUUCGUGUCACAUCAGUUUGUAUGAUGAUGAAUAAAAGGUGCUGUGACCCGUGUUUUCAA